GACGAACGCUGGCGGCGUGCCUAAUACAUGCAAGUUGAGCGCUGAAGGUUGGUACUUGUACCAACUGGAUGAGCAGCGAACGGGUGAGUAACGCGUGGGGAAUCUGCCUUUGAGCGGGGGACAACAUUUGGAAACGAAUGCUAAUACCGCAUAAAAACUUUAAACACAAGUUUUAAGUUUGAAAGAUGCAAUUGCAUCACUCAAAGAUGAUCCCGCGUUGUAUUAGCUAGUUGGUGAGGUAAAGGCUCACCAAGGCGAUGAUACAUAGCCGACCUGAGAGGGUGAUCGGCCACAUUGGGACUGAGACACGGCCCAAACUCCUACGGGAGGCAGCAGUAGGGAAUCUUCGGCAAUGGACGAAAGUCUGACCGAGCAACGCCGCGUGAGUGAAGAAGGUUGUCGGAUCGUAAAACUCUGUUGGUAGAGAAGAACGCUGGUGAGAGUGGAAAGCUCAUCAAGUGACGGUAACUACCCAGAAAGGGACGGCUAACUACGUG
rnacentral:rRNA from 1 species